rnacentral:rRNA from 1 species
UACGAAGGGGGCUAGCGUUGCUCGGAAUUACUGGGCGUAAAGCGCACGUAGGCGGGUCCUUAAGUCGGGGGUGAAAUCCCGGAGCUCAACUCCGGAACUGCCUUCGAUACUGGGGACCUCGAGUCCGGGAGAGGUGAGUGGAACUGCGAGUGUAGAGGUGAAAUUCGUAGAUAUUCGCAAGAACACCAGUGGCGAAGGCGGCUCACUGGCCCGGUACUGACGCUGAUGCACGAAAGCUGGGGGGAGCAAACAGG